GAUGAAGAACGUAGUGAAAUGCGAUACUUGGUGUGAAUUGCAGAAUCCCGUGAACCAUCGAGUCUUUGAACGCAAGUUGCGCCCGAAGCCAUUAGGCCGAGGGCACGCCUGCCUGGGCGUCACACGUCGUUGCCCCCCCAUCUACUCCUUCGGGAUUGCGGGGGGCGGAUGAUGGCCUCCCGUGCGCCUCGUCGCGCGGUUGGCCUAAAUGCCAAGUCCUCGGCGACGCACGCCACGACAAUCGGUGGUUGCGAAACCUCGGUUGCCCGUCGUGUGCGGUCGUCGCGCAUCGAGGGCUCGAAAAAAUUGCCGGGCUUCGGCUCGACUUUCAACGCGACCCCAGGUCAGGCGGGGUUACCCGCUGAAUUUAAGCAUAUCAAUAAGCGGAGGA
rnacentral:misc_RNA from 1 species